UCUCGGUCGUCUGACUCGAAGGCUGACACUGUGGGCUGGCCUCGCGUUCUGUUGUGGGUUUGGCGGCUACAACUUCUGCACUACUCUGCUUCGGCAGUGGUUUUGCCGGCAUGCCGCGGCGAGCGACACCAUAGCUGACAUGCGCGCCCGGCUCGUUCAAUUCAUACACGAGGUCAGUGACGUCCUAUCUGGUGUUCCGACGGGGCAGGCUACGCUGGAAGUAAGUCCGGCUCUUUAUAUUUUCUUUUCCCAAAAAUUGUUUUUCUCUGUUCUCAAAUCCCUUCCUGUGUUGAGUGGUAGUGAGCCCAGGCCUAUUCUAGAUUUUUUGUUACAGGCUGAGCGCCUCGCUAAAUUGAAUUUGGUGUCAGCUGGCACUUUUAUGAAAGCUCUGCUUAGUAAGUGUACUGGCGUGUAUGUGUCUAGGUUAACAGAGGCUAUUGUACAGAAUGUAGAUUUCUAUACAUUUAAGAUUUCGGUACUUCGUGCCAUGUGUCCGCCGCGUGUCAUGGAUGCGUGUAAGCGCGAUUUAAUUUUCAGGUUUCAGAAUCCUAAUGAGUCAGUCACUCAUUACAUUGAUGAGGUUGUCACCUAUGCCGAUGUUUUGGAAAUUGACAUGGCUGAGCCUUAGUUAGUACAGCUUAUUUUAGGCAACUUUGCGCCUCAUGUGCUCACCCACUGUGGCAUGUUAGCUCCACCUACUACCAUUGAUGCUUUGCGUGCUUGGGGUAGUGAGGUAGAGGCGCGGUUAUUGGCGGUGUCUAAAUACGAGGCUGAGUUCUUGCCUCCCCCCAAGCCUAUGUCUGUGUCACGUGUUUGUGACAGCGGAUUUCACAGCAGGUUACCUCAGAUUUUCGUGGCAGUGACGCACACGAUGCUGACUCUAGUGUUUUACGCACGUAUGAAGAUAAUAGUCAUCAGCAUUUUCUUUUUCGCCUCGCUUUCAUGACAGCUCACGUGCGCGCCCUUCCGGGCGGUGCGGCUAGUGUAAUUCCUCCUGGUGGCCGUCAGUCUGCCCCGCCUCUUGAAACUACGCAGCCGCAUCGGCGUUUGACUGGCGGCGCUGUUGCCACUUCCGCGCAGCAAUUACAGUAUGUUCCAAAAUACACUCGCGCUCGUUGCGCAAACUGUUGCAUGUUUGGACAUGUGACUGAGGAUUGUGGUCAGGCACGCGUUGAUGUUAAUGCUCGUAGAUGUUUUUCUUGUAUGGGAUUGGGUCAUUACCGGAAUAAUUGUCCGGGAAACGGCCAUUGACAGGACAGAAAAGAGGUCGUUUCUGUCGCUUCUAUAGGAAAGCCUCCAACUCUGUUUUUCUGAAUUUCUUGCCCGUGUGUAUUCACGAGCGUUUCUUUUCGGCCUUAGACGAUACCGGUGCUACGUGCUCGGCUAUUAGUGAGAUAUUUCUCCAGACUUUAAUAGAAACAUUACCUAAGUUUUCUUUUCGUAUAUUUUCUAAGAGUCAGAUUAAUAUUUGUGUGGCGAAUGGCGAGUGCCUUCGCGCAAACAAGUUCGUGGUUAUUCACUUUAAGAUUAAGCAUUUUACCUGGAAUUGGAAGUUUAUUGUUGUUCCUGGUCUUUCACCUAAUUUUAUUUUGGGUUUAGAUUUUUUGAGCAAGAAUCGAUGUGUCCUGUAUGUGGGCCAGCGUGAGCUCCGGUUUGACUUUGCCCCUUCUGUGAAAGUUCCCUUACGAUCGCAGCCUAGUAAUUCCGUUAUUUUUGAUUGUCGCGAUGCUGAUAGCAUUGUUCAAGGACAGGCUAUUGCCGACCUAGUUCACACCUUUUCCGAUGUUAUCACCUCUAAAUUAGGACACUGUGACAUUUUGCCCUAUAAGUUCUACUUAAAGGAUGAAGUGUCCGUCCGCGCUAAAUAUCUCAAGUUUUCUCCCGCUAAACUGCAGGCCAUGCUUGACAUUGUGGAUAAGCUCUUAGCCGCUGGUAUAAUUUCUCAUUCUACAUCUGAUUUUUGCACUCCCACUUUUUUAGUGCGUAAAAAAGAUGGUGCGAGCCUGCGUAUGGUACAUAACUACAUUUCUUUGAACCAUAAAAUUGCAAAAGACGAUGUUUAUCCGCUCCCCACUGUUGAGUCUGCUCUUCAACAUCUAGGUAAGGCCAGAUAUUUUUCGGUUAUUGACUUGAAUCAAAGUUUUCACCAGUGCCUCUUAGAUCCUAGUUGCCAUGGGUAUACCGCAUUUUCAACUCCUUUUGGCCAUUUUGAAUUUAAUUGUGUACCUAUGGGUGUUAGUUUUGGCAGUCAGGCUAUGAGCCGGAUCCUCGAUCAUGUCUUAUCUGAUCUCAAGUAUGAUUAUGUGUUUAAUUAUGUCGAUGACAUCAUUGUUUAUAGUAACACCCUUGAGGAUCACAUUACUCACUUGAUUGAAGUUCUUUCUCGUUUACGAGGGGCCAAUCUCACUGUUAACCCCAAGAAGGUUACACUAGGAAAAAAAUCUGUUAAAUUCUUGGGUUAUCCUUAGGGAUCCUGACAAGAUUGCCCCUAUCAUCCAGUUUCCCAGGCCUGUAAACUUAAAGGGAGUCCAGCGUUUCCAGGGUAUGUUAGGCUAUUUCUCCAGGUUCAUUAAUAAUUUUGCCUCUAUCUGCGCCUUUAAAUGUCUUACGUAAGAAGGAUUCAGUUUUUGAGUGGGGCCCCGAACAAGAGAAAUCUUUUCAGGCGCUGAAGUCUUGUAUGGCUUCACCCCCCGUGCUCAUUCUACCGGAUUUUAGUAAACAGAGUGCUGUUAAGGUUGAUGCCUCGCAUAUUGCGUUUGGAGCCGUCCUAGGACACCUAGAGGAAGGCAAGAUUAGGCCCAUUGCCUAUGCUAGUCGCUCGCUAUCGGAGUCUGAGCAGCGAUUAUGUGUCUACGGGAAGGAGGCCUUGGCUUGCCUAUUCGGCCUAGAAAAAUUCGAAAGUUAUCUCGAUGCUCGGGAGUUUGAUUUAUUUACCGACAACCGAGCCCUUAGUUGGGUCUUUAAUCAUCCUCAUCAGCUGGGUAAGCUGGGUCGUUGGAUUUUGAGGUUAUCACGAUUUCAGUUUGUCAUCCAUCAUAUUCCAGGUAAAGAUAAUGUUAUUGCUGAAUCUCUUUCGCGCAUGUUUUGCACCGAUGAAUUCGAGCCUUUGGAACCUCGCUCAUCUGAUGCUACUAAAUUUAUCACUGCUUUUAAAUUUUUUUCUGAAUCAUACUUUAAUAUUAAGAUAUGUCAGACUCAGGACCGCCUCUGUCAGCAGGUACUUAGAGAUAUGUUGAUAUGUUGAGGAGAGUGGUAUGUUAUAUUUUACAGGAACUUCUGGCAGAGCCUGGAAGGCUGUUGUUCCAGCUGUCUUGAGGCCUAUAGUGUUAACCUAUUUCCACGCAUCUCUCCUAGGUGGUCAUCUAGGAAUAGAUAAAACAUUUCGCAGAAUUUCAGCGCACCUGUUUUGGCCCGAGCUUCAUGCUGAUGUUAGAAGGUUUGUUCGAUCUUGUCUCGACUGCCAGAUUUCUAAGCCGCCUCAUAAUUCUAAGGUUGGUUUGUAUGCUGCUGAUCCUCCUGUAGCGCCCUGGCAUGUCUUACAUAUUGAUAUUUUUGGUCCUCUUACACGUUCUAAGAAGGGUAAUGUAUGUUUGCUUGUUGUUUUGGAUAUUUUUACAAAAUUUGUCAUUUUAUUACCUCUUAGAAACAUGAAGGCUGCUACUAUCGUUAAGGUGCUUAAGGAACAGGUUUUCAAGUUGUUUGGUCCUCCAUGUAUGAUUGUUUCUGACAAUGCCCCGUAUUUUCAGUCCACUAUCUAUAAGAAUUUUCUUUUUGAAUGGGCCAUUAAUCCUAUUUAUAGUUCAGCUUAUUUUCCGCAGGGCAACAUGGUAGAGCGGCAAAAUAAGGUUCUCAAAAGCAUCCUGAUUUCCUUCUACCGGUCUGAUCAGACUCUUUGGGAUUCAGAUAUUGAGUAUAUUAAUGUCGGACUUAAUUCUGCUCUUCAUUCAGCUACUGGUUUUUCACCUUCGAUCCCGUUCUUGGGCCGUGAGCUUACUGUUCCUUUACUGAACCAGUGGGGGUUGCCGUCCCUCGACACCAGCCGGGACGCCUAGGCAUUGGAACGUGUACUCGACACGGUUUCCUGUAAUAUUCAUAAGGCCCAUAAAGCUGUUUCUGACAACUAUAAUAAGGCUAGAGCUCCUCAUGGUUUUAAGAUUGGGGAUUUAGUACUUUGCAGAGCAUUUAAAUUGCCUAUGAUGGCUGAUCAGUUAAAUGUGAAGUUACUUCCUCCUUAUGACAGGACCCUAUUGUGUCGACAAGUUUUUGGGUGUCAACACCCUUUUGUUAAGGCGCUGUAGGCGCAAGUUUAAAUUUCUAAAGGCUCAUGUAACCCAGGUGAAACCUUUUGUUAAAUAGAUUUUUUAUGGGUUUCUGUAAGCCUUUUUGCAGUAUUAUAUGUUUGUAAUUGUACCUUUUAUAUGAGAUUAGCCUAUUGGCCUGUUGUUAAGUGUUUGUGUUCCUAGGAACUUGUGUUUAAAACUUGUCUUUGCAGCUUGUGUUUUGUGGGAUUUGUGCGUGGUGUUGCGGCUCCUUUUCUUUUUUUUAGUUUGGCGCGCCAUCCUUUUUCCCUGUUAUCCUUGCUUUCUGUGCCCGACUUCUGCCAGCGAUCUUCAGCUUCACCUCACCGAGAGACGUCUCCGUGGGACCUUCCGUUCGUCGCCUCCUCCCUACUGGUGGUAACUGCCUAUGAGAGCCCAUCGUGCUUCUGCCCAUCGUGCUACCAUGAGCUUGCCUGGCGGCUUCCUGCUUGCGUGGAAGCUCGAUGCCGCUUCGCCGCUUCUGGGUCUUGGAGAGCGGCCGUGUUGAUUCCGGCUGAGUGCUUCCUGCACCACCGUGAGUCCAUGGCUGCCCCUAGCCCUUGCCUGGCGUGUCUUGGACAUCGUAACUGACCCCUUCGUCAGCAUGCUAAGGCACUGCGACUUUGUGCUCCCUGCUGGAGUCCCCUCCUGUGCCUGGGUGGUUGCGACUUGUGGGAACGCCCUUCUCCGAGACCUUGUUCUGGGCUGAACACCGACUUCAUCUCUGUACUUCUUACUCCAUAGCAACCGCUGGCUGUCGUAUACUGCUGUUCUGAAGACCUGUCCUUCAGCGUCCUUCGACCUGCGUAGCGUGUGACUACGUUCGAAGCCAUCUCGUUGAUCGCCGCGGCGAUUCUGAAGCUUGCUGUUUGAUGCUGUCACCAGUCACCGAUUUCAACGUCAUGAACUUUCUUCAUUGUGUGGAUCUUCUGGCUCUCCGGGCAGGGACACUUUAGGGAGGGGUGUUGAAGCAGUGAGGGCACUGCACAGCAUUCCUUCCCUUCCUUUCCCCUCCCCAUCCACCUUUCCCCAUCAUCGCCAACCUCCCCUUCCUACCGCCACUCUUGAUCACUUCACCGCGGCCUCACCAGCGCGCUCUGACGAGUGUUGUACCGGGCCUAUAUAUACUCGGAUCCUAGCUUAUUCGUCGCAGACUCUCGGUCGUCUGACUCAAAGGCUGUCACUGUGGGCUGGCCUCGCGUUCUGGUAUGUACUCGGCUGUGAAACUUAGCUUCUGUAUUUAGUAUGAUAUAUUAUUCUUGCCUGCGCGUUGUGGCCGUGCCUUCACCUUUGUAUUUUUGCCAUGAUAUGUAAUGUUUCGUAAUUGCUAUGUAUGUUGGACCUUUCAGGUCAUUGUUUGAAUUUCGUUUCUUUUGCUCACGCCGAGUACUACCUGUAGCUUGCGUAAUAUUUUUGCGGUUGUGUAUGGGCAUGCCACAAUGGCAUUGGACACUUAUUGUCAAGCCGCAUUAUAAUUCUUUUCUUGGUUUCGAAUUCAACCUAACGGCCCAUAUUACUUGUGUGCUACCUCUAACGCUUCGCCACCACGCCCGCUUUAUCUUCACAUAGUUCUAAAUUGUAUGAAUGAUUGUAUUUAUUGUAUUGCAUCCCACGGGAACGCACGAGGAGCGUAUGAUUAUUUUAAUUUGUUAAAUUGCUUGUAAUCAACUAAUAUAUGUAUGUCAUAUGUUUUUGUUCUAUGGGCAUUUUAUUAUGAAUAAAUAAUAUAUUUUUGUAAA